rnacentral:rRNA from 1 species
CAAGAUGAGUGGCAGACGGGUGAGUAACACGUGGGAACAUACCCUUUGGUGCGGAACAACAGCUGGAAACGGCUGCUAAUACCGCAUGCGCCCUACGGGGAGAAAGAUUUAUCGCCGAAGGAUUGGCCCGCGUCUGAUUAGCUAGUUGGUGAGGUAAUGGCUCACCAAGGCGACGAUCAGUAGCUGGUCUGAGAGGAUGAUCAGCCACACUGGGACUGAGACACGGCCCAGACUCCUACGGGAGGCAGCAGUGGGGAAUAUUGGACAAUGGGCGCAAGCCUGAUCCAGCCAUGCCGCGUGAGUGAUGAAGGCCCUAGGGUUGUAAAGCUCUUUCAGCGAGGAGGAUAAUGACGUUACUCGCAGAAGAAGCCCCGGCUAACUUCGUGC